rnacentral:rRNA from 1 species
GACAGAGGGUGCAAACGUUGUUCGGAAUUACUGGGCGUAAAGCGCGUGUAGGCGGCUAUGCAAGUCGGAUGUGAAAGCCCCCGGCUCAACCGGGGAGAGUCGUCGGGGACCGCACCGCUUGAGGGCGGUAGGGGCUGGUGGAAUGCCUGGUGUAGUGGUGAAAUGCGUAGAGAUCAGGCAGAACACCUGGGGCGAAGGCGGCCAGCUGGGCCGUCCCUGACGCUGAGGCGCGAAGGCGUGGGGAGCGAACGGG